UACAUUUCUGUUUGCUGAAAUAUUGGUGCAAAUGGAACAUUUAUUCACCUAUGCCAAUUUAUUGACUCGCGGUUGUCCUUUAAUUUAAUUCAUUUAAAAUUUUAGGGCAAUUUAUUGUGGCUGUAUCAUUGCUAGACCGUGGUGAAUCAUACAAAGCACUGGUUCCACUCGCUGCUUAUCGAAAAGACGUACAAAGGGCCACAAGAAUUGGCAAUCAUUUCUGGUGGUGGUUUAUAUACUGCUACAUUGAAGCUGCUCAUUGGCUUCGAAUUAUCACCUCUUCUGACAUGGGUACACCGCAUUACCAUGGCAGGCGCCAAUGAAGCAUGGGCGUGAUAACAAGAAAAUGAAAUGUCUGAUUUGCCUCAUCGCAAUAAAGCAGGCGGUAUGGGCGGGUCACUGUUACAAAAACUCAUUUAUGAUUAUGAGUUAAAAAAUUCUACUAGCGUACGUAAAUAUAUAGCAAACAAGCUGCUAAGUCUCAACGCUUUUAUACCGCAAUGGCUAUAUAAUGGCUACAAGGUAUGAAAUUUGCUACAAAAACGUUUUAUAUCAUUUAUGCGUACCAACAGUACGCGAAUUGUCCAGAGCUAUUAUAUUUGUUCGUCAAACAUAAUCCCUUAAUUGAAGCUGCCGAAGUACCAUAUGCCCUGUUGGAAGCGAAUAUUUCAGUUUUAAACAUAUAAUUGCGAUUAUAAACCAGGAAAUUGUGUUUUCCUGUAAAUACAUUAGAUCUUUUGUUGCAUAGAUUGAAAUUGAAUGCUAAUUCAGAUAUCGAGUAGAAGCAGGUGCUCACAGAUAUAGAGGACGUCAUUAGACCUAUAUCGAUACCGCACAGCGCUCAGCAGAGGAUAAAGUCCAAAUGGAUUAAAUAAAUUAAAAAUGAUAUUAAAUAAUCUAUCAGUCAAUUUUGGAAAGCUUAAGAACUUAUGUUCUAAAUACAGAUUAUAAAAAUAAAGUUUUUGUUAUA